GUGCCAGAGACCCGGGUUCGAUCCUGACUACGGGUGCUGUGUGUACAGAGUUUGCACGUUCUCCCCGUGACCUGCGUGGGUUUUCUCCGAGAUCUUCAUUUUCCUCCCACACUCCAAAGACGUACAGGUACCUGUUGGAUUCCAAGGUGUGUCAUCUGCACUUCUUCUCUUUUUGGAUCUGGAUUUGAAAACUGGAUCGUCAUCAUCAGAUUCAAGUGAUGGAGCUAUUUUUAACUUGGUUACCAGUCCAUGAAGUCUGCAAGCAAGACUCUGAGGAUGGAAGAUUUGCCAUGGAUAACAUGCCCUGGAUGGCUUCCUGUGUGCUGGAAUAAAGCUAAGAAAUAUGAAAACAAUAAGUAUUUGAAUGGCCGCGAUGUUUUAUCAUCAACCAGAAAUGUUGAUAUUUCUCUGCAUCAAUACUGCCUGCCUGCUGAGGACUUG